CCCGGUUCUCCCCAGUCAUUCCUUCCUUGCUGGCAGGGGAUGGGAACUCUGGAAUCUCACUGCUUUUACCUCAGCUUGUGGGGCUCAUGUCCCUCUCUGCUCUCUGGCAGGAUGUAUACCUCACAGACCACUUUCUCUGAAACCCCUAAGUCUACUCACCACUAGCUUCCUCACUGGCUCCCCUGGAUCCAGACCCUUGCUAGUCUCAAGAAACAGAAAAGUCUGACUCUGACACACUGCACACAAAGUCUUGAAUCCUUUCAAGGCAUUGGCUUUGAUAUUUCAAAAGCUUAAUCUUUUGCUUUCAAUAGACUCUUAAACUCUUCCCUACUUAUGAUUUUGAAGUCUAUUUUGAAAUGCAAAAAUAUCAGGAAUCAGCUCUCUGUUUCCUUUCAUUCUUUUCUUAAAGCAAUAAAGGCAAAAUAAUUAGUAGCCUGAAGGUUGAGGGUGCAGGGAGGGGUAGAGAUAACAGGAAAGAACAGAUAGGAAAGAGGGGAACAUCAGUUAAUGUUCAAAAUACUGUCCUCCCACAUAUAUUUGUUGUUCUUUUCUUAACCACAGCUUCUCAGGUAGUUCUCAAACUUGAGGAUGAAGCAAUUAUACUCCAAUAAAGAUGUUAAAAAAAAACACAAAAAACUCGAGCAUGUCCAAGAACUAUCCAGUAGAGUUGCACAGACCCCAUUCUCUUCAAAGAAGACUACUUUGGACCAAUGGAAGCAGAGAGAACCAAGCUGGGAGAACUGGACUGGAAGGUCAGAAGAAUUUGCUUCCACAAGACAAAUGAUCUCUCUGUGAUAGACAGUGGCUCAGGUUCAACAAGCAUGCAUAGAGUACAUACAUUGGCCCAACACUGCACUGGACGCCAGGAUAUAAAGAGCACCACCUUGGUGUGCUGUCUGGACCCUGGGUGCUGGAGGUGUUAAAGGUCAUGGGAUGUCAGUUCCCCGACGAGGGAUUGAACCCGCACCCGCUGCAGCGUGGAGUCCUAACCGCUGGACCACCAGGGAAUUCCCAGAAUGGGGAUUUAUUUUGAAGGUAAACUCAGCAGAGCUUUCUGAUGAAUUAUUCUGUGCAGAUACAAGCCUAUAUUUAUAUUUGCUGCUCCAUUUUUAAAAUGCAAAUAAUAGCUUAGUAUACAAACUAUUCUACAUUUUGCUUUUUGUCACUUGAUGUUAGACAGAGAUUAUUGUGUAUCAGUCUGGAUUAAAUACACCGAUCACUUUCUUCUCUGCCUUUUUUCUUUCGGUUGUGACUUGUACUUAAGUUAACAUGCACAUAAUUUUAAAGACAAAUAUUUCUCUGUGGCCUUUUGUGAAACACAGCAGGUCCCCGUCCCCUCACAUACCAUUUACUCCUUCCCAGAGGCACCAGUUUCACCUCUUUCACCUGAUUAUUUUGGUAUUUGCCUCCAUUUUGCUAGAUAACAUUUUUGCACUGCUACUUCUUGACUUUCCAGUUUUAGAUAAGAUAUCUUGAUUUUCCAUUCAGGAAGAGGAUUGGAAGAGUAGGACUCAGCUCUCUUUUAUCCUUCCUGCCCCACUACCUGUCCUCACUUUUUGUACUCUUUUUUCUCAUAAUUCGGUCAAAUUGUAAUUUUCAUUAGUUCAAUAUUCAGUGUUAACUGGCUGAUUUACGACUAAUUAAACACUAAUGACCACUAAAUCUGUUGUAAAUUAUGGUUAGUUUUAUUUGCUAACAACAUUGUUAUCCUCAGAGUUAAUAAUGGCCUAUUUUUUUUCCUUUGUUUAGUUAUCUUUAUAUUUGUCAUGAAGUCAACACCAAAAUCUUUAACAAUUGUCUAAAUCUUCUCUCAACAUGUUCAGACACAUCAGUGACAUUUUACAAAUUUCAUUUUCUUAAAGAAUUUUCUCCUAGAAACUUCUGCUAAGCUCUGUGGUAGAUUGCUAUCAGAAAUGUCCAACAAUUCCCUUUCUUGUAGCCAUGUUCCUUUGCUCUGCAACUUUAAGUAUACUCUCCACUUUAAUUCUGAACUUGACCAUGUGAUUUGCUUUGGCCAAUGAAAUGUUAACAAGCACGGCACAGUAGUUGGAAAAGUCCUUGUGCUUUGGGCUCUUGGAGUCCUGCUGCCAUGUGAAGAGUAAGGUUUACCUGCUGGAUAAGGAGAGAAAUAUAGCCCAGUCACCACAGUGGCUCCAACCACCACCACCACUUGUCAGACAUGUGAGUGUGGCCAUCUGGAAACAAUCAACCCCAGCUAACCUGCCAACAGACCACAGAUGCGUGAAUGACCCUAGCUAGGAUCAGCCAGAAGAAAUGCCAGGAAUGUGUGAGCUUAAUGGUUUGUUUUAAGCCACUGCAUUUUAGAUUGAUUUGUUAUGCAGCACUAGGUAGCUGAUACAAGCUGCAACAUGGGUUGGUUUGCUGUGGGGUAUAAAUACUAUCCUGGGACUCUCUUGACCAUGGUCCUUGGACUGUCUUUUGCUUUUUUCCUAUAUUGGAUCUCCUGUUUACCAUAACCCACAUCUUCUUAUUGCUUGGUUUCAUCCAGUGACUUCCCAAGAAAGGGUAUAUGAUAAAUAAAUCGUUUAAGAUCUUGCAUGUCUAAAAAUGUAUUUUUAAAGAAAUUUUCAUAUGUAAAUGAUAGUUUGGUUGGGUGUAGACUCUAAGUUGUUAACUAUUUUCCUUCAGAAUUUUGAAAGCCUUUCUCCAUUGCUUUGUAGCUUCCAGUGCUCCUGUUCAGAAAUUAAAAUUCUAUGUCAAAUGUUGAUAAGACCACCACUCAAUAUCUGAAAUAAAAGAACAAAGCUGAAUUUAGUGCUUGCUAUAGUAAAGGAGAGCUAUGCUGCUCAGGCACAGUCUCUCCAAGCAAAGCAGACUGUUAAGCUUGUCUGGGGCUUUGGGGAAGCACAGAGUUCAGGGACUGGUGGACUCUCACAGGCUUCAGUGGGUUGCCAUCUGCAGAAUCACAGUUUCUUGGGUGUUUUUCUUGGAGUGAGUCCAUCCCUAAUGGGCCAGUGGUCAGAAGUGAGCAACUCAUGCUGAUUGGUUGGUUUGCAAAGGCAUGUUCAUCUGUGGGUGUUGCUUUUGAUUGAGUUAAGUGAGUUUAAAACCAUUUAAAUGGCCAUUUGUUAACAUGACCAUAGAACAAUCGCCUUCACCACGUUUGGGGGAACAUUUUUAUUCUCACUAAUUACUGAUCCUAUGUGUAUGAUCUGGAUUUUUUUUUUUCCUCUUUACAAUCUUGCAGGAUCUUCUCCUUGCCCUAAAUGUUUGAAAUUUCACAAUGUUGUACCAUUGUGAAUCUGUUUUCACUUGGUAAAUCUUUUGGUCUGGAAAUUCAGAUUAUUAGGUAGCUCCUCCUCUCCAUCUUCUCUAUCUUUUCCUCUUUUUUAAUGCUAAUUUUCCAUGAUCAGUUUCCUAAUUUUUUUAUCUCCUAUUUUCCGUCUUUUUUUCUUUUUGCUGAUAAAAUUCCUCCACUUUAUAUUUUCACCUUUCUAUCAAAGAUUUUUAUUUCUGCUAUUGUAUUUAAUUUUCAAGACCUUCUUUAUGUUUUUGGAACAUUCCAUUUAUUUACUUGUUUGUUCAUUUAUUUGGGGGUAGAAUUCUGUUCUUAUUUCAUAGUUACAGUCACUUCUCUCUGUGAUGUUUUUGACAUUUAUUUGACCUUUAUUUCUUCAACAUUACUUUUUUCUCUUUAUUUUAUUUUCUAUCUUCCAGGUUAGCUUUCCGUAGAUACCUCAUACAUUGUCUUCAUAUUUGACAACACUUAAGAGUGUGAUACUAAAAUACUGACUGGAAGCUCUGAGGAUGUGAGAGAUGGGCUGGUCUGAUGUGAAUUUUCCUACAUGAGCAUCAGACUGGGUCGUUUAAUGGGGAGAUUUCUGAUGUCAGUAUUUUUCUAAUGUCAUGUCUUUCUUCAUGGGCUAGUCAUAUAUCCCAGAGAAGACUCUUUCAGUCUCCUGCCAGGAGGGCGAAGGUCUAGCUUUCAGUGUCCUGGACUCAGAACUGAGAAAGAUGGAUUUGGCAUGUUAUGUCUCCAAAGCAAAUACACAUACAUUCAUUUAUUCCCCUGUUGUUAGUACAGCUCCCUCGCCUUCAACUGCACUGGUAUUCUUCCAUGCAGACCAUCUAUUUUACUUCAUUAUGAAAAUAAACCAUCAUUCUUUGCCAGUGAAGGAAAGGUCAGUUUCUGGGAUGCUGCUUGGAUCUGGGGAUCCAAUUCCUUCUAAAACAGACUUCCCAACAUUGCUCCUUAUUAAAUCUAUACCCCUUUUAUUUUCACUUCCACGAAGACCUGCUGCCAUUAGUUUCUAAGUCUUUGGUUUUCUGUAAAUCAGAUUAAUUCCUAGUUUUCUCUACUGCUUGAUUGAAUUCAACUUUCUCAGCGCUGCUUAUUCUAUCACUAUGUAUUCAUCUGCUUUCCAGCUUCCAAAACGAUCCCUUCUGCAGCUCUCUCCAUGUUUUGGGUUUAAGCCUGAAAACAUCCCUUCACUGGUUGUGUUAGUGGGGUCUCAGGAAGGUGAGAAGGUAGAAGUACAUGUUAAAUCUCCUAUCUUCACACAGAACCUGCUUUUUAUUUUCUGUUUAUGUGAAGUGUGUUAAUGGCUUCAUAAUUGAAUCUAGCUUAUAAUUUAUGUGAGAUCAAUCUAAAACUGGUUUAUGAAAAUGGCUUCAAUUACAAUAAGCAUAAAGCAAUGCUUUCCUCCUUAACACUACAGACAAGAAAAAAUAAUUUGGCA